GGGGAUUUAGCUCAGUGGUAGAGCGCUUGCCUAGCAAGCAUAAGGCCCUGGGUUCAGUCCCCAGUUCCA
rnacentral:tRNA from 1 species